UUAUUAUAUUUUAUAUUUUGUUACAUACAUUAACUAGUGUUUAAAUGAUAGGUAAUCCUCGAAAGGACUGCCUUAUUAUAAUGCACAGAGUGAAGGUAAUGAGGGUUAGAGACUCAAUAAAGAGUACUCCGAUUAUUCAUUAAUGAUCCUUCCGCAGGUUCACCUACGGAAA
rnacentral:misc_RNA from 1 species